AUUUAACAUGUGUUAUGUUGUUUCUUGAAAUUGUUUAUUAAUUAUAAAAUGGCUGAGUGUGUUUUGCUGGGGCGGCAUGAAUAUAACUUGUAACUGUUCGUAAAUUGUAAUAUAGAUAUAUAGAUUUUGGUCCUUUAUUAAGGAGAUAAGAGUAAGUU
rnacentral:rRNA from 1 species